rnacentral:rRNA from 1 species
ACGAGUAAUAGUGGAUCCCUAGGCUUGGACAUCGACGAAGAGCGUAGAACGGAGCGAAAUUGGUGGCGACGAGCCUCAGCCCUAUGCGAGUUGUCAAUUCUCGAAUACCUCAGGCAGCAAUGCCGCGUGCGGUACAGAGUUGGUUCAGCUGGUCGGAAGCCCUCCGGUCUGCAGAAGCAAUUCAGCCUAACCUGUGCCGCGCGAGACCACGGGCCGAACUUAAGCAUAUCAGUAAGCCCAGGAAAAGAAAUCAAAAAGAGAUUCCCCCAGUAGCGGCGAGCGAAAAGGGAAAAGCCAGGCCUGAAUUCCAGUUGUGGGUGUGCGCUGUCAACGGGGGCAAAGUGACCUUGAACGGUCCGGGCAACACGGUGGUACUCCGGUGGCCCCCAGACACGAGCUGGCGUAGUAGCACUGCUUGAGAGUGUAGUGUGAAUAUGGGUGGUAUUCCUCAUCCAAGGCAAAAUACAGGUCCAAGUCCGAUAGAGUAUCGAGUAACGUGAGUGAAAGGUGAAAAGUAGGCUCAUAAGGGCUGCUUAAAAGACGUGAAACUGUUAUUUCAAAGGGUAGGUCCGGGCAGCGCUUCUGCCGAACCCCUUCUAGGGGGCCCGGGCCUUCCGCCCGUCUCGAAACACGGAUUAAGGAGUUACGUUAGACUGCGAACCACCGCGUGAAAAGCGCGAGGGUGCAGCGAAAGCGGAAAUACUCAGCCAUGUUGACGUGCCGCGAUUCAUCAAAGCACGUUUACAGAGUUGUCUGAUGUAAACCCGAAAGGUAGUGAUCUUUACAUGACGAGGGCGAAGUCAGUCGAAAGGCUGAUGGAGGCCCGCAGUAAUAUUGACGUGCAAAUCAUUUAUCGGAGUUAUGUAAAGGGGCGAAAGACUCAUCGAACUUCCAAGUAGCUGGUUACGUUCGAAAUUUCUCUCAGGAUAGCAACAGCGAGUAUAGCUUCGGCCGGUAGAGAUAAUGAUUGGUGGAAAGUGGCCUCCGGGUAUGCUCCAACUCUCAAACUUCCAAUAGCCGAGAACCAGGACCUUCCUUCGGGAGUUGCCUGUGUCGAGUAGUCGCUGUUAGUGGGCCCCUCUGGGUAAGCCGGAUGGGCAAGGAGGAUUCAGCCUUAAGCCGAGUUACGGUGCGCAACAAGGGCGCAUGAGAAAAAACGACGUGCGCUGAUAUUGACAGCAGGAAGGUGGCCAUAAAAGUCGGAAGCCUCUAAGGAGUGUGUUACAACUCACCUGCCGAAUCAGUGCGCUCGGAAAAUGGAUCGCGCUGCAGCCCUUGACCUACACUCGGCUGGUGGAAACACCAGGUAGAACGUGGUGGGGAGUGCGUCGAAGCGUGCCUGUGAGGGCCCGUGGAGCGCUCCCUAGUCCAGAUCUUAAUUGAAGUAGCCAUUAAUCUGUAUACAGACCACUGAAGAGGAGAAGGAUUCCGCGGCCACUAAAACAGUCCGCGGGUGACUCGGUCCUAAGCGCUCGGCUACGGCCUCACAAGCGUCGAAAGGGUAGCAGGUUAAGAUCCCUGCAGGCCUGCCUUACAUUGGCGACAAUCGGCGCAGCUCACUGAUAUUCGGUCGACCCGGCUGGACCAUCGUCCCAGUUUAAUGCUCACGAGCGUGCUGAAGCGUUUGGCGCUAGAAGCACGGUCCACGGCUAGAAUACGCCAGCGUACACUGGCGCGGGUUUGGCUGAACAUCGCCUCAAACUGGGCUGCGCGACUCGGGCAGGCGCCGUACUGAUAACCGCAUCAGGUCUCCUAGGCAAGAAACCUCUAGUGAGAAGAUAACAUGACCAAGGGAAGUCGGCAAAUCGGCUCUGUAACCUUGGGAUAAAGAGUGGCUCUGAAAGCUCGUGUUGGAAGCGAAACAUUGAGACCUUGUUGAAGUGCUGAAGUGGAGCAAUCUGCCAGGCAUCAGACUUGUGAUCUUUGUGAGCGGAAGGCAUGAUGGGCAUUUCAGAACUGCUACUGACUAGAAGAACCCGACUGUAUAAUUAAAACAUAGCAUCUCGAUAGCCACAGCUGGUUUUGACGAGAUGUGAAUCCUGCCCAGUGCUAUGACUGUCAAUGUGACGAGAGUCAUUCAAGCUCUGGUAAACGGCGGGAGUAACUAUGACUCUUUUAAGGUAGCCAAAUGCCUCGUCCAGUAAUUUUGGACGUGCAUGAAUGGAUUAAUGAGGUUCUUACUGUCCCUGGUCAUAUCUUCGCGAAACCACAGACUCGGGAACGGGCGAGUGUAACCCUCAGCGGGGCAAGAAGACCCUGUUGAGCUUGACUCCAGCUUGGGAUUGUAGAACGGUGAUGGUGGUAUAGAGUACAGGGGAGCUAUGCGAUCAUGUAACACCCUGACACUACUCAUUGUUCUGCUAACCUGCUUAACGGCGUGGUUUUUGCCAUACGCUCGGCAGGGACAUUUCUAGGUGGGGAGUUUGGCUGGGGCGGCGCGCCUGCUAAAGCGCAACGCAGGCGUCCUAAAACAAGCUCAGACAGGACGGAAACCUGUCGUAGAGCAAAAGAGCAAAAGCUUGUCUGACUGUGUGCGUCAGUGGCGUACACAGCCGUGAAAGCGUGGUCUAUCGAUCCUUUACGAUUCCUGGAAUGAAUCUGGAGGUGACAGAAAAGUUACCACAGGGAUAACUGGCUUGUGGCCGCCAAGCGACCAAAGCGACGUGGCUUUUUGAUUCUUCGAUGUCGGCUCUUCCUAUCAUUCUGAAGCAGCAUUCAGAAAGUGUUGGAUUGUUCACCCAUGCAAGGGAACGUGAGCUGGGUUUAGACCGUCGCGAGACAGGUUAGUUUUAUCCUACUGAGGACCGCGCACUGCAAGUAAUUUAGAUUAGUACGAGAGGAACAUUUUCAUCUAAGCACUGGUUUACAGCCUUGUUUGACAAAGCAGCUGGCUGAAGCCACCCUUAGGCAUGUUAUGGCUGACGGCCUCUAAGUGAGAAUCUCCCCUUCAGGUGUGCAUGGCUCAAGCGUCCUUGAAAUUUGGACCGAGCCGCCCUACUCCGCAGACCACGGAGCUCGAGUGCAUUGU